UGGUGGAUUGAUUUGUCUGGUUUAUUCCGUUAACGAACGAGACCUCAGCCUACUAAAUAGUUGGAGGAAUUCUUUGAAUUCCUUUGAACUUCUUAGAGGGACUUUUGGUGCUUAGCCAAAGGAAGUUUGAGGCAAUAACA
rnacentral:rRNA from 1 species